rnacentral:rRNA from 1 species
AUUGAACGCUGGCGGCAUGCCUUACACAUGCAAGUCGAACGGCAGCGCGGGGCAACCUGGCGGCGAGUGGCGAACGGGUGAGUAAUAUAUCGGAACGUGCCCUGGAGUGGGGGAUAACGUAGCGAAAGUUACGCUAAUACCGCAUACGAUCCAAGGAUGAAAGCAGGGGACCUUCGGGCCUUGUGCUCCUGGAGCGGCCGAUAUCUGAUUAGCUAGUUGGUGGGGUAAAAGCCUACCAAGGCGACGAUCAGUAGCUGGUCUGAGAGGACGACCAGCCACACUGGAACUGAGACACGGUCCAGACUCCUACGGGAGGCAGCAGUGGGGAAUUUUGGACAAUGGGGGCAACCCUGAUCCAGCAAUGCCGCGUGUGUGAAGAAGGCCUCGGUUGUAAGCACUUUGUC